rnacentral:rRNA from 1 species
UGGGGAAUCUUGCACAAUGGGGGCAACCCUGAUGCAGCGACGCCGCGUGAGCGAUGAAGCCCUUCGGGGCGUAAAGCUCUUUCGACCGGAACGAUAAUGACGGUACCGGGAGAAGAAGCUGCGGCUAACUACGUGCCAGCAGCCGCGGUAAUACGUAGGCAGCAAGCGUUGUUCGGAGUUACUGGGCGUAAAGAGUGCGUCGGCGGUUUUCUAAGUUCGGUGUGAAAUCUCCCGGCUUAACUGGGAGGGUGCGCCGAAGACUGUGAAGCUGGAGUGUGGGAAAGGCAGGCGGAAUUCCUGGUGUAGCGGUGAAAUGCGUAGAUAUCAGGAGGAACACCGGCGGUGUAGACGGCUUGCUAGACCAUAACUGACGCUGAGGCACGAAAGCGUGGGUAGCAAACA